UACGGGGGAUGCAAGCGUUAUCCGGAAUCAUUGGGCGUAAAGCGCCUGUAGGUUGUUUAAUAAGUCUGUUGUUAAAGACUAGGGCUUAACCCUAGGAAAGCAAUGGAAACUACUAGACUUGAGUAUGGCAGGGGUAGAGGGAAUUUCUAGUGUAGCGGUGAAAUGCGUAGAUAUUAGAAAGAACACCGGUGGCGAAAGCGCUCUACUGGACCAUUACUGACACUCAGAGGCGAAAGCUAGGGUAGCAAAAGGGAUUAGAUACCCCUGUAGUCCUAGCCGUAAACGAUGGAUACUAGAUGUUGUGCUUCCUGUACAGUAUCGUAGCUAACGCGUUAAGUAUCCCGCCUGGGGAGUACGCUCGCAAGGGUG
rnacentral:rRNA from 1 species